AGUGAGGCCAAAUCGUCCAUGCAAGGGUGUGUGGGGAGGGAGUGAGGUGCCAGGGAACGUGAGGUGGUAGGGGAGGGAGGGUUUGCUCCAGUAUGUCAACUAGGAUGAACAUCAAAAGACGGCAACGGCACCAUUCCUGUGGAAUUCUGAGGGCAUUGUUUUGGGCAACGAAGCAAAUUUUAUUUGUAUAGUAUUUUUUCAGUAUCCAAAAACUGGUGGAUUGAAUUUGAUGUCAAGGUUGUCUUUCUGUUCCAUUAAUUGUUCUGGAUUAUGUCAAGGAUGCAGAUUAGUGAAUCAAAGAGUCCUGCUUGUGCCUAAUCCAACAGAGGAUGUCUGCCCUCUUCAAGCUCAGCAGCAGAUCUAGGACCAGAGUAAACAACCUCUCAUUACAUGCCACAAACCAUGACUCCCCAGACCAGCAACUGCAGAUAAUACAGCACUGUCAAGCACAACAUAACACCUGCGCUCACAGCAGAUGGAGAAUUCUGUUGACCUUCCUCAGGGACUGUACUAUACAAGUGGCAAUGUAUCCCACAACCUCCCAGAUUCAGGUUUUGACGAGAAGGGUGUUAUUAAAUAGCUAUUGUACGUGUAGAGUAAAUGGCAAAAGCAUGUGAUUCUGAGGGAUGGCGUUGGCCAAGUUAAGGGACAUUGAGAAUGUUGCACCAGUGGGAGUUUUUACAUUGAUGUACAACUCGGGUAACAUCUGGAUAUCUGGACUUUACUUGUAGACUAAAGGUGACGUGGCAAAGGUAGAUUUCACACAGGGGGAAUAAUGAAGGGUGCACAUUGGGGCAAUUCAUAAGGAGACUGAAAUGUGCAUUUCAGUGUGAUAGAAAGGCAGAGAUUAAAAGAGAGCAGUAAUGAAUUGUUCUACCAGAAACGAUGCCCACACCACCUUGCCAUCUUUUCUUUUUCACUUAAAUUAAAUUAGUCUCAAGGUACUCAUGUUCUUGCAUCAUCAAACGCUAAUUAGAUUCAGCCGUCAUUGAGGCAAAAUGGGAAUUGGGAUCGUAACACGUGUCCCGGUGAGUGCCAACAACUGCCUUAUUGUGAAUGCAUGAAAACAGAUGCAGGAGAUAUGUGAAGCUGUUGUGAACUUUCUCCUCUUCUGAUGAAAGCCCUUGUCAACGAGGAUCUCGUUUUCUUCUCAGUAGUGCCCAUGUAGUGCCGUCACUGUCCAGGACAGGCCACAUGUGAGCAGAGCCCGUCACCUCUAGCACCACAGAAAUAUCCCAAACCUUCCAUCUCUCCCACUAACUCCCAGCCCUUCCCGGAUGUCAUUUUGCCUUGCUAACAUUUACCGUCUCUUUGUCCCCCAUUACUGAAUCAUAAAAGGGAGAGAAAAAAGUGGAAAAGCUGGAAACGUAUUAAGAUCCUGAAAGCAUAUCGUGCUUACAAUAUUAAUGCACACAUUUUAUUUUCCUUAGGUUGAACAAGCCGUCUCCACCAGUUUCCCCUCAGCAUCCGCCAUAUGAAUUAGCUCUCAAUACAAGACAAAUCCCUUUGUUUUAACAGCCUGCACUUCUACCUAAAGUCUCCAGGCAGAGCCUUAGCAAUCCUAAAACCUCCCCCCCCCCAAAAAAAAAAAAACCUCAAGAGCAAUAGACAAAAUAGCUCCAUAAUCUACAUCACAGGCAAAACCCCAAAUAACUGAAUUCAACAGAAGAUGCUCAUUUUGUGAUCACGACGCUCUAGACUUUCAUAGUGAAGUUGUGUCAUCUAGAACUCUCUGGAACACACAGAGACUUAGCCAAACAGACUCUUCAGAACUGCUGGAACUCGAACCUCUCUACUCGGAAUGGAAGUAAUCAUGCCCCAUUCGCCUUUAUGACACACGCAGCCGCUCCAGAUCGACCCUCUGAUGAUGGAAUUGUUUUACACUGAUGUUACUGUACUUACACUAUCUCAUGUCAUUAUUCUGCAUGUCAUAUGGGCACUUUGUUGUCCCGUGUUGACGCAGGAUCAACUCACUAUCCAUAUAUUGGGAUAUGUAAGCAAAAAACUGAUCCCAGACAGCACAUGUUCUUUGAAUUUCUAAACCUAUGGCUUCAGACAUAUGUACACCUUUGGAAUGUGUUAGUGAGAAUUAAUUGAAAUACCCUAAAACAUAAACAAAAUUACACUGUCCCUCCCACACUCAUUUUAUUUAGAAAAUGUGCCUGUACUGUGUGAUUCCGCAUUGUUCUAUUAUUUCUGUGAAACAGAAUGUUUUGUGUGUGCAUGUGUGUGGUUUAGAGGAGAAGUAAGACAAACUGCAGUGUAACUAAUGCCGCAGUUCUCCACAUAGCCUAGAAUCCUCUUCAAUAACCUUACUUAGAUGCUUAGAAACUCACUCAAACACACACUAGGAAGCGAGAACAGUAAUUUGAAUUAGACUGGGCAGUGACAGCGUGUUCUGCAGAAAAAGCAGUUUUCGAUUUAAUUUAGUUCACCAAGAAACAGUGAACAGCACCACACUGCCCUCUGGAGGCCUGGCAGGCAAUGAAAGGCUUUGGGGUUUUGUUUUUUUGUUGUUGUUUUUUCUCCAUCGGUGCUGGACAAGAAAACUCAAGAAUUUUCACUUUCAUUUGCCCAAGAACAGCAGCUACAGUCUGUGGCCUCCAGAGAAAAUGCUAUUAAGCUAGAAACACAAUAUAACCGAUUCUUGUCCUCUUCAACAUCACCAUGAAAGACUUCAGUCCAUGGCUUCAGAGGACUGCAGCUGACUUUAUUAGCUACAUGAAAGCAAAGCUGACCACAAUUUUAUCAGCAGAUCUCAGUGCAGUGGAAGAGUCGAUGGAGAAAACAGUGUGGGAAUCAGGAGUGAAGUAAAACACUCGAUGAUUCGAAAACCAACAAGGACCAGAUUGAGAGAAACAAAAAAGAAAACAAGAUUUACGUUACACAUUCACACCUUCACAGUGCCAAGACAGAAGGUUUCGAUUACACUAGGUAGUAGAUGUAAACUGAGCUAAUUUAUGAUUUCCCUAAAAUGUAAUGUUGAGCCAUUGUUUGAAAUGUCUUAGCUAGUUUAACUAUUAAUGAAUUUUCAGGUUUUAACCUUUUAUUCUUUUAUGUCUUUGUCUUACGUAGCUUGCCUUUCAGCGUCCAAGAUUACAUUAGUCCUGAUGUGGUCAAGUAAGGCGACUGGUGGAAAAACAAUGACCACCAUUCGUGUCAGUGUCUUUGUGCUUACUGAAGCCCAUUUUUGAAGUUCUUGAUUUUCUCUUGCUAAGUUAGUGUGUUCUGCAUUUAACUAGUGUUCUACAGCCACAUGCACACUAGAGCUCUGGAAAGUGAAGUUCAGACUGUGGUUCAUGUUUAAUAAACAGUUGCUGACUUUGUUUGCUGA